CCUUUAGAGAAGAACAUUUCUCUGUCUCUCAGCGAUCGUAACGUUAGCAAAAUUCCGACAUCUGAUGGCGUGGAUGAGACUCAUUUGGUUGGCCCUCACAGGACAGAUAAACUUCAAAAACCACCUGUUAAACCCAUUCGCUAGGAAGCCGAAAGCCGAUAUUAAAGUGUCUCUGCAUAGCUCAUUCAUAGGUCAUGAAAAUAUACAAAAUAUAAAACCACAAGAACAUAUAUGUCUUAUAUAUCAAUCGAAUCUAAAUAUGAAUAAUAACAAAAGUAAUAAAACUAUUUUUAGUAGUACUUUAAGUUUGAAAUUUUUACAGUGAUUUUGCAUUUAUAUUAAGUAACACGAUAAUGCCCUGCCAACAAUGGGGCUGAGUUCUAGGCUUAACUACAUUCGCAAGCAUAUAUAUGUGUGUAAUAGUGUAUUUUUUCCUCAUUUUAUUGUCAUUUACAUAUUUGUUGUAAUACAUUUUAUAGUAAUAAAAUCUUUAUAAAGAGCUAA